GACAACGCUGGCGGCGUGCUUAACACAUGCAAGUCGAACGGUGAACCAGAGCUUGCUCUGGGGAUCAGUGGCGAACGGGUGAGUAACACGUGGGCAACCUGCCCCAGACUCUGGGAUAACCUCGGGAAAACCGAUGCUAAUACCGGAUACGACCACUUCGGACAUCCGACGGUGGUGGAAAGUUUUUCGGUCUGGGAUGGGCCCGCGGCCUAUCAGCUAGUUGGUGGGGUAAUGGCCUACCAAGGCGACGACGGGUAGCCGGCCUGAGAGGGCGACCGGCCACACUGGAACUGAGACACGGUCCAGACUCCUACGGGAGGCAGCAGUGGGGAAUAUUGCACAAUGGGCGAAAGCCUGAUGCAGCGACGCCGCGUGAGGGACGACGGCCUUCGGGUUGUAAACCUCUUUCAGCAGGGACGAAGCGAAAGUGACUGUACCUGCAGAAGAAGCACCGGCUAACUACGUG
rnacentral:rRNA from 1 species